ACCAACCCUCUCCUCGUGCUGAGUACCAACCAUCUCCUCUUUCUGAUACCACCCUCCUCCUCUUUCGGAUACCACCCUCCAUCUCUUUCGAUACCACCCUCCUCCUCUUUCUGACACCCCUCCUCCUCUUCUGAUACACCCCCUCCCUCCUCUUUCUGAACACCACCCUCCUCCUCUUCUGACACCACCCUCCUCCUCUUUCUGACACCACCCUCCUCCUCUUCGACACCACCCUCUCUCUCUACACCUCCCAUUUUGAUACACUCCUCACCCGCGAACCCUCGCUCCUCACACC
rnacentral:lncRNA from 1 species